rnacentral:tRNA from 1 species
GGGGACAUGGUCUAGUGGUAUGACGGAUCCUUAGCAUUUAUAAGCCUACGGUUUAUUAAGUCUGGAUCAGGUCCGGGGUUCGAUUCCCCGUGUCUCCA